GAACUGAAGAGUUUGAUCAUGGCUCAGAUUGAACGCUGGCGGCAGGCUUAACACAUGCAAGUCGAGCGGAAACGAAGAUAGCUUGCUAUCAGGCGUCGAGCGGCGGACGGGUGAGUAACGCGUAGGAAUCUACCUAGUAGUGGGGGAUAGCCCAGAGAAAUUUGGAUUAAUACCGCAUACGCCCUAUGGGGGAAAGCAGGGGAUCUUCGGACCUUGCGCUAUUAGAUGAGCCUGCGUGAGAUUAGCUAGUUGGUGAGGUAAAGGCUCACCAAGGCGACGAUCUCUAGCUGGUCUGAGAGGAUGAUCAGCCACACUGGGACUGAGACACGGCCCAGACUCCUACGGGAGGCAGCAGUGGGGAAUAUUGCACAAUGGGCGCAAGCCUGAUGCAGCCAUACCGCGUGUGUGAAGAAGGCCUUAGGGUUGUAAAGCACUUUCAGUAGGGAGGAAAGCUUGUGGCUUAAUACGCUAUAAGUGUGACGUUACCUACAGAAGAAGGACCGGCUAACUCCGUGCCAGCAGCCGCGGUAAUACGGAGGGUCCGAGCGUUAAUCGGAAUUACUGGGCGUAAAGCGUGCGUAGGUGGUUUGUUAAGCAAGAUGUGAAAGCCCCGGGCUCAACCUGGGAACUGCAUUUUGAACUGGCAGGCUAGAGUUUUGUAGAGGGUAGUGGAAUUUCCAGUGUAGCGGUGAAAUGCGUAGAGAUUGGAAGGAACAUCAGUGGCGAAGGCGGCUACCUGGACAAAGACUGACACUGAGGCACGAAAGCGUGGGUAGCAAACAGGAUUAGAUACCCUGGUAGUCCACGCCGUAAACGAUGUCUACUAGCCGUUGGGGUCCUUGAGACUUUAGUGGCGCAGCUAACGCACUAAGUAGACCGCCUGGGGAGUACGGUCGCAAGAUUAAAACUCAAAUGAAUUGACGGGGGCCCGCACAAGCGGUGGAGCAUGUGGUUUAAUUCGAAGCAACGCGAAGAACCUUACCUACUCUUGACAUCCACAGAACUUUUGAGAGAUCAAUUGGUGCCUUCGGGAACUGUGAGACAGGUGCUGCAUGGCUGUCGUCAGCUCGUGUUGUGAAAUGUUGGGUUAAGUCCCGUAACGAGCGCAACCCUUGUCCUUAGUUACCAUCAUUUAGUUGGGGACUCUAAGGAGACUGCCGGUGACAAACCGGAGGAAGGCGGGGACGACGUCAAGUCAUCAUGGCCCUUACGGGAUGGGCUACACACGUGCUACAAUGGGCAGUACAAAUGGUUGCGAAGCCGCGAGGUGGAGCUAAUCUAAAAAAGCUGUUCGUAGUCCGGAUUGGAGUCUGCAACUCGACUCCAUGAAGUUGGAAUCGCUAGUAAUCGUAGAUCAGAAUGCUACGGUGAAUACGUUCCCGGGCCUUGUACACACCGCCCGUCACACCAUGGGAGUGGGUUGCUCCAGAAGUAAAUAGCUUAACCUUCGGGAGGGCGUUUACCACGGAGUGAUUCAUGACUGGGGUGAAGUCGUAACAAGGUAGCCC
rnacentral:rRNA from 1 species